rnacentral:rRNA from 1 species
UGCAGUCGGGCGGUAGCACAGAGAGCUUGCUCUCGGGUGACGAGCGGCGGACGGGUGAGUAAUGUCUGGGAAACUGCCUGAUGGAGGGGGAUAACUACUGGAAACGGUAGCUAAUACCGCAUAACGUCGCAAGACCAAAGAGGGGGACCUUCGGGCCUCUUGCCAUCAGAUGUGCCCAGAUGGGAUUAGCUAGUAGGUGGGGUAACGGCUCACCUAGGCGACGAUCCCUAGCUGGUCUGAGAGGAUGACCAGCCACACUGGAACUGAGACACGGUCCAGACUCCUACGGGAGGCAGCAGUGGGGAAUAUUGCACAAUGGGCGCAAGCCUGAUGCAGCCAUGCCGCGUGUAUGAAGAAGGCCUUCGGGUUGUAAAGUACUUUCAGCGGGGAGGAAGGUGUUGUGGUUAAUAACCACAGCAAUUGACGUUACCCGCAGAAGAAGCACCGGCUAACUCCGUGCCAGCAGCCGCGGUAAUACGGAGGGUGCAAGCGUUAAUCGGAAUUACUGGGCGUAAAGCGCACGCAGGCGGUCUGUCAAGUCGGAUGUGAAAUCCCCGGGCUCAACCUGGGAACUGCAUUCGAAACUGGCAGGCUAGAGUCUUGUAGAGGGGGGUAGAAUUCCAGGUGUAGCGGUGAAAUGCGUAGAGAUCUGGAGGAAUACCGGUGGCGAAGGCGGCCCCCUGGACAAAGACUGACGCUCAGGUGCGAAAGCGUGGGGAGCAAACAGGAUUAGAUACCCUGGUAGUCCACGCCGUAAACGAUGUCGACUUGGAGGUUGUGCCCUUGAGGCGUGGCUUCCGGAGCUAACGCGUUAAGUCGACCGCCUGGGGAGUACGGCCGCAAGGUUAAAACUCAAAUGAAUUGACGGGGGCCCGCACAAGCGGUGGAGCAUGUGGUUUAAUUCGAUGCAACGCGAAGAACCUUACCUACUCUUGACAUCCAGAGAACUUUCCAGAGAUGGAUUGGUGCCUUCGGGAACUCUGAGACAGGUGCUGCAUGGCUGUCGUCAGCUCGUGUUGUGAAAUGUUGGGUUAAGUCCCGCAACGAGCGCAACCCUUAUCCUUUGUUGCCAGCGGUUCGGCCGGGAACUCAAAGGAGACUGCCAGUGAUAAACUGGAGGAAGGUGGGGAUGACGUCAAGUCAUCAUGGCCCUUACGAGUAGGGCUACACACGUGCUACAAUGGCGCAUACAAAGAGAAGCGACCUCGCGAGAGCAAGCGGACCUCAUAAAGUGCGUCGUAGUCCGGAUUGGAGUCUGCAACUCGACUCCAUGAAGUCGGAAUCGCUAGUAAUCGUAGAUCAGAAUGCUACGGUGAAUACGUUCCCGGGCCUUGUACACACCGCCCGUCACACCAUGGGAGUGGGUUGCAAAAGAAGUAGGUAGCUUAACCUUCGGGAGGGCG